GAUCCUGGCUCAGGACGAACGCUGGCGGCGUGCCUAAUACAUGCAAGUCGAACGAGCUCUCCCAAAUUGAUUUUAUGCUUGCAUAAAUGAUUUUUGGAUUCGGAGCGAGUGGCGAACUGGUGAGUAACACGUGGGUAACCUGCCCCGAAGCGGGGGAUAACAUUUGGAAACAAGUGCUAAUACCGCAUAAUUAGUUGGAACCGCAUGGUUCCAACUUGAAAGAUGGCUCUGCUAUCACUUUGGGAUGGACCCGCGCCGUAUUAGUUAGUUGGUGAGAUAAAAGCCCACCAAGACGAUGAUACGUAGCCGACCUGAGAGGGUAAUCGGCCACAUUGGGACUGAGACACGGCCCAGACUCCUACGGGAGGCAGCAGUAGGGAAUCUUCCACAAUGGACGAAAGUCUGAUGGAGCAACGCCGCGUGAGUGAUGAAGGUUUUCGGAUCGUAAAACUCUGUUGUUAAAGAAGAACAAGUGUUAGAGUAACUGUUAACACUUUGACGGUAUUUAACCAGAAAGCCACGGCUAACUACGUGCCA
rnacentral:rRNA from 2 species